UCAGACAAACACGAUCCUAUUUCUGAGUCUUUAAGGGACUACCUUUUGUUCUUGGGUAAAUUCACUGGCAGGGACCGUCUUAUCCUUCUACGGGCCAAGAAGUAGGACACGUUUCUUUGCUAACAAUCGUCUGUCGCCUCGUCAGAUUCCCAGAACCACCGAGAAACCGAAAAGUCUAGGAGGAGGAACAAAAUCAUCCCUAUCUGCAAAUGACAGGUUUGUAUCCCGCAGACCCCAGAGAAUCCACUGUGACCAAAGUGCCACUAUAAACAACAGAUGACAGAGUGCCGAAUGCAGUUAACACAACGUACAGAGAUCGGCAUUCUCAGAACGUUCAGUAACUCGCUCUGACUGAAGUCAUCAGAAGGGACCAAGACAGCAGAGAAGUUUAGUCAUUUCUACCCAACAGCCCCAGGACACUGGCCUCAGGUGGUCAUCCGAGACCAUAGAGCAACCCAGAAGCCACGCACGGAAGAUGCGGAGCUCCCGGCCGCUGGCGGCUCUGCCCCCACCCCCCGAUCAUCUGGGGCCCCGGCCGCUGGCGGCUCCUGGGUCGCUCCACUGUCUUUCUAGCAGCAGAAACGGAAAAACUGCACGUCCAGGACCAGGGGUUUCUCCUAAAGCAAGUGGGGAGCAGGCUCACAGUCCAAGCACUUAAGGCAGGAAGAUAAGCCCGGGGACCGCCGUCCAGUGGGCACGCCUGCACGCGGACACGCAGAUGCAGGAGGCACACGGAAGACAAGACCCCGCCGCGUGUGUCUGCGACGAAACGAUCUGACGGCAGAGCCCGCACAAGGACACGGCAGAACAUCCUGAAAGACAAUAAGCAGGCCUAGCAAAGGGAACAACACUGCCCUCUCUGUGCCCCGCCCCUGGCAAGGCAGGCGUCAGGACGUGGGGUCCCCUCUCCGGCGCUGGGGCCCCGCUGGCUUCAGGGCUCUGCACACGGAGAACACGCGGUCCUUCGACCCCAGCUCGGCCCUCAGGGCCUUGCCGCCUCCCCCGUGCCCCGCGCCACCGGGCGGGGGUCCCGGGGCGGCCUGUGGGGGGCGGGCCCCGCGGAGCACGGUGGACCCACAGCCCCAGGCGGGUGCCAGCCCACUGCAGCCACACUGACGCCCCUUCCUGCUGGGCCCGGCCCGGGCUGCUGACCCGCAGAAGCCGGUGGUGGCCACAAGUGCCACACUGUGAGGGCGUGGGUUAGAUGGUGAUACGCGAUUGACACGCAAACCGUUCUAAGUUACAGAUGCACUUGAAUCCUAAUUAAAACACCAACCGGUCCCCUCAGCUUCACCGGGAACUAGACAGGCGGGUGCUACAGCUCAUGUGGAGAACCAAACAAGAAAGAGAAGCCGAGAAGACCACGCACGGGACCAGGGAACGGCCCACAAGAUGUCACAACUACGACAAAGCCUCGAGCGAGGCCCAGCCCGCGCGGACAGACAAGCAGACCAGUGAGCUGGACCGGAGCUGACGGCCCGCGGGCCCUCGCGCCCGAGCAGGUGCACCCCUGCUGGACACGCCGAGUGGGGCUACUGGCUCAGCAAACACCACGCCUCACACACGUGUCGACUUCCUGCUGUAUUUGUAUUGAGGCACGUGUGUAUUUCUACUGUGUUUAAAAUUUCUUAUUUUUUUACAUUUAUUUAUUUUUGAUAGGCAGAGACAGAGUGCAAGUGGGGGAGGGGCAGAGAGAGAGAGAGAGGGAGACACAGAAUCCCAAGCAGGCUCCAGGCUCUGAGCUGUCAGCACAGAGCCCGACGUGGGGCUCGAAGCCACGAACCGCGAGAUCACGACCUGAGCUGAAGUCGGACGCCUAACCGACUGAGCCACCCAGGCGCCCCUCUACUGUGUUUAAUACGUUACAAUAAAUAGAAUACAAAAUUAACUUAAAACCAUUACGGGAAUCAGGAGGCUCUUUUAGCAUCACAUAUCUCCUCAACCAGUGGGUGGAAAGAGGCAAUUAAACAACAGGCCAACCUCCCCUCUGGGCCCACGAGUCCCGUGCAGCCACCGUGGGCUCCCUCCCGCCACGCCGCUCCUGGUGAGAAUCGAAUCCCAAGAUGGGAUCUAAGCCCCCAGAUAUAAGCCAAGGUCAGCAUGAAGCAACACAUAUGAGGCCUAAAGGCCCAGAGUGUGGAAGACGCGGGUCCUCCGAGGCCGAGACCUCGCAGGCAGAGAGGACGAGUCGCACGCAUUUAAGCCACCGUUUCUGGGACGCCAGCACGCGGGUCUGGGUGUCAUACCCAGGCGCUCCAUCAAAGCCUGCUGAAUGCAUGGUGCGUGUUUACCGCACGUGCACCGUGACAAGCGUCACCCAGUCCCCAGGAGCAUCCAGGCCGGAACCCUUGGGUCAAGAGCGGCGGAGCGCCACAGAUGUCGCCCAGAACCUCAUGCUUCGGCACAUCCGAAAUGUGGCCACUUUACAAAUUUCACAGAAUUUCGACCCUGGGACCAAGAGAAGUCAACUUGGACUCCGCGAUCCUCCGACUUUUCCGUGGGCCCUGCCCUUCCCCGCGCAGCUCUGGCUGGAACGAAGUACGUUGUCGGACCAGAGAGACACAAAGAAUGAAGACGGAAAUCACGGCAGUCCUGAGAUCGACCAGGUUUCAGAAAAUGGAACUUCUGCUGAUCCUUUGUGAAAAGAUUACUUGAGGGUGUAGUCCAGCGAAACAGGAAGGAAGGAGAAAGACAUGGGAUUUAAGACAAAGAACUCACCGCAUUAUGCAACGUAAGGAAAUGCCGGGAUAAACACCCGUAGGUGGCCCGGGAAGAAACUGCUCCAAACUAGAACCCGAGAUCUUUCAAGAACAAAGAAUUUGUUCCACAAAGAAUACGAUCAAGGAGCUAGAAGAUUUUGGUAUUGAAGGAGAAAUAGGUUUCUUUUCUCAAAAAUAAAAACGAAGCAAUUAACAUUUUCAAGUAACAAAAAAAAAAAAAAAAAACCCUGCCAGGAAACUGUGGUGCAGACAGCGAUCGCACUAACAAGGGGCGUGGGUUUCUACGGUUGGCUUCACGAGCGACUUCCUCCUCCAAGCAGCACAGACUUAAUGACAGGAUUCUCGUGCCUUCUCUGUGGCAUCGGCAGGAGCUAAUUCAUUAAAAGUUUUAUUGUGAAUGCUGUUUCUGGACUUUCAAUAUUUGAAAUCGACCUACAAAAGAAGCGUGGAGAACUCCAUUAUAACGACCGCAGAUACGAAUGUCGUGGACCCAAGUUAUUUUACACAGAGCAGGUCAGGAGGGCUUUGUUCCACUUGAUUCAGCACAAAGUGAAAGUUCAAGUAUACUGAAGUAUUAAGGGAAGAGCAAAAUAACUAAAAAUAAUACUAACCCAGCAAACUCGGGGGCGGUGAGGAGUGACAGGUGUCUGUCACACUCGCAGAGAAGCAAAAGUCUAGAGCCGCGCCUGGCACGCGGUGGAUGGACACUUGGUGAACAUCGGCGAGAGAACUGGGUGGGUUAGUAAGUCACGGAACGGAGCAUCAGCAAACGGUCGGGAGUCAGCGGCCGGAUGGCUCUGGAGCCACGACCCUGAGAACCAGAGUGAGGAAGGGACGGGUGGGAGCUCACUUUCCUUUAAACCCGGCAGGCUGCCAACUCAGAGAAAUGCAGCUAUAAAGCGAUUUAAGGUCUGGGUUAAUGCUGAUCGCGAAAUGGCACCUUUAAAGGUGAAAAGAGUCCUCGUGUAACUCGGUCAAGGGAAAAUGACCUGCAGGUCUCAGCUCAGCGGACACGUUGGAGGGGCCCCCACGCCCACCGUGGGUUUCUCCACCGAGGAACGGGGGCAGGUGUGCGCUGGGCCCAGGGCUCGGCCAACGGUUCUUGUCCCGUGUCUGUGGCCUCAGCGCGUGACGCGAUCGUUCUGAAUUUCGGUUUCUGAUUUGAAAGUGAGGGUAAGAGGACCUUUACUACCAGAACCACGGGCUGGCUCCAAGGAUGAAAUAAGGGCACGUAGGAGUGUCCCUGAAAACUCGUCAGGGUUUCAUAAACACACCGGGUUCCGAAAGAGCCUUCGUAAAAGUGCCGCUUUCCGUACCAGUGACAGAUAUUUCAAUCAUCGCGAGCAUUGGUAAAACUCCGUAACUGAGACACUGACGCCAGGAACCGACCCGCUACGAGAGGGCCUCACGGUCACAUUCCUUGGGGAAACUGCACAGCGCACCCCACGCUGAGGAGGCCUGAUGCACACCCAGGAGAGCCACGCCGAAGCCGCGGUCUGACCCGACGCUUUGUCAGUGAGGCUCUGAAGCCUCUGUGAUUCCGACCCGCCUUCCCUCAGGCAGCCGACAUCAGUGAGAUGUUAAUUCUUUCUAAAU